GAUGAACGCUGGCGGCGUGCCUAAUACAUGCAAGUCGAGCGAACAGACGAUGAGCUUGCUCCUCUGCCGUUAGCGGCUGACGGGUGAGUAACACGUGGAUAACCUACCUAUAAUACUUGGAUAACUUCGUGAAACCGGAGCUAAUACCGGAUAAUAUAUUGAACCGCAUGGUUCAAUAGUGAAAGACGGUUUUGCUGUCACUUAUAGAUGUAUCCGCGCCGCAUUAGCUAGUUGGUAAGGUAACGGCUUACCAAGGCAACGAUGCGUAGCCGACCUGAGAGGAUGAUCGGCCACACUGGAACUGAGACACGGUCCAGACUCCUACGGGAGGCAGCAGUAGGGAAUCUUCCGCAAUGGGCGAAAGCCUGACGGAGCAACGCCGCGUGAGUGAUGAAGGUCUUCGGAUCGUAAAACUCUGUUAUUAGGGAAGAAAAAAUGUGUAAGUAACUAUGCACGUCUUGACGGUACCUAAUCAGAAAGCCACGGCUAACUACGUG
rnacentral:rRNA from 1 species